rnacentral:sRNA from 1 species
CUGCUAAAUAUGAAAUUUAUAUGGUCUACAUGAUCCAUUCAAGUUACCUGUGGUCUGCAGACAUAACUGACAUAAGAGAUAUAACACAAAAGAAAAAGAGGAGGCCUAGUUAAGAUUUCCCCUUCAGUGUGCAGAACUCAUACAGUUUCUGGAUGUGCUACAAAAAAAAAAACAAAAAAAACAAAAAAAAACAAAAAAACCCACUGAAUCAUCCAUUUUGAAAAUACAAAGCAAACCUUUGCCUGCUGAGAAAAGCCAGGGUCCACUCUGCAGCUCCUCAGAACUGUUGACACCCUUCUCACCAAAAAAAGAAAAACCCAAACUAGCCAAGACCUUUAGGAAUCUCUUUUCCCAGAGGCUGUAUACUCCUAUGCUCCCCUAAUGUCUUCUUUUUCUAACUAUCUCCCCCUCCAUUUUGCCACCCUUGAACCCUGAGCGCAGCACAGAAUGUUGGAGGCCCAAGAUUCUAUAGUGGCUGUUUGCUGGGGCCGGUCAACCUCCCUAACUGUCACAACGGUUUCAUAUGCAUCCGAAGAACGAUCCUAGCAUAGCACUCGAGAUGCAUAGGCCGGAGGGCUGGUCUUAGGUUGGAUGCCUGAUUGAGUCAAGUAGUAAGUUCUAGAUCAGGCUGAGUUACAGAGUAAGGCCCUGUCUCAAAAAAGAAGACAAAGAAAGAGAGGAGAGGAGAGAGCACCUUAAUGCUUUUCUUGUAUGGGAAAUCAAGGUAAAGGGAUGUCUGUGCAGCCAAGGAAGCAAAGCAUGGCCAGACGAAUUGCCACAAAGUCCGAGAGAGGAAAAACUCACAAAGUGAGAGCAGAAGAGAGAGAUGAAUCUUCAGACCUGAAUCAACCCAGCCCAAGGAAGCCAAGAAACUGAGAGACAUAAGAGUAGACUUGGACCACGUAAGAUGCAGUCAGUGAGUCACAGAGAGCUCUUCUGUCCCUUCCUCCCAUCCUCUAAAGCCUUUGGAAGCCGCCGUGAGUUCCCCAGUCAGAUGCACUGAAACACUUUCAUGUGAACUUGAAUUGUUCUCUGAGGCCUCUCCUUCGGGUCUUGCCAAGGACAUUAUCUGUCUAUUUAAUACGUACGGAUGCUACUCUAUUAGAAGGCUAAAGAUUUUAUUAAUGAACACUUCUAAGAAACACUGAGAUGAUCUCCUUAACAUAAGAGCCCAAAGAAAGGGGGACCUGCCAGCUCCCAGUCAGGCAGUGCAGGCAGGGCUGCGCCCGCUCAGAGUGCCCACCCAAUCCUGCCUUUGGGGGGCAUCUAACCUUUCUUUUGCAGCUGCUCCUAUCCAGGAACGUUGUGCAAUUAUUGGAGUCUGGAAUACAAUGAGUGUACACUAGGGAGCUUCCACCCCAUCUGAGAAGGAGCUGGUCCACAUUCCCACCUGGUCAUCAAGAUGUCAGUCUCCCACCUCAAGAGUGGGUCUAGUUCGAAGCCUGCUCGGGAAUACAGCCCAAUUCAAACCUUCUAUCUUGCUGCUACUGGGAAAUAGCAUCAUCCCCGAGGCGUUGACCCACUACAAAGACAAUGACAGAAGAUGGCUGCUUCUCGUAUAAUACCUCACGAGAGAUGCCUGCAGCUUCCGUUUCCUGUGACUGACACCCCACUUGUCCUUGUGUGUUCAUGCAUCUCAUCAUUGCUAGACGAAUUUAAAGAAUACAGCACAUUCCUAGAGCUGAGUUAUUCAUUCUGGACUCUUGAAAAAAAAAUACACCAGAGGUAUGGGACACGUAGAGUCAAUGAUAACAGCACAGAAGUACGGGAAAAAAGGGGAGGAAUUUGCUGAGAGAGUUAUCCUCCCAGAAGAGCUGGAAAAACUCUGACAGAAACUCUCCAGAGAGUCGGGGAGCAUAGAUCCUCACCUACCUGAGUCACUGGCCCCUGAUAAAGUCCUUGUGAAGAUGUCCCCACAGAUUAGGAUAAGCCAUACAGGAAGAAACCUGUUACAUAGACAUCAUCACAACAAGUCACAGCUGGUUUGUACCAAGAUGUCCUCACCACGUUAGUGUCACCCACACAGGAUGGAACUGCUACACAGACAACACACCGGCCAAGCUGCCACUGGUUGGUGAUGUAGAGAAGCUCUGUGAAGAAAUGGUCCCUUUGACAUCUGGCUCAGACACACAAGCUAAAGAGAAUGUCAUGAUAAUUAGGCCAGGUAAAGUCACCUCUGCCUCCCCACUUGGAAAAGCUGUGUGAAAACACAGUGCCCAUAUCACUUGCGUCAACCAGACAGUCUUCAGUCUGCGACAGUGAUACUAUCAACUAAGCCAACAUUGGUUUGUGUUUUGGGAGAGCCUCAUAUAGCUGUGGCUCCCCACCAUACCUGAGUCAGCCUCACAGACUUCACAGACUGGAAUACAAUAACAAGGUAAGUCAGCCCUGGGCGAGAGGUUCCUGCAACUCGGAGUACCAAGCAACAUAGAAAGCUUCCUCGGUCUCUUUUCCCUCCUGGUACUUGGCUCUGGUUACAGAGUCUCGUGUGAUACUGUUGUGUGCCGUCCUCCCCGUCCUGUGGAAGUGCUCUUCAGCUUAUGCUAAGUCAACUCACUUUUCAGACCCCUAAUGUUUAAAGGUUCUAUGGAGAUUUGAAACACUGGGUGAACUAGAGAUUGUAGGUGGCUUUUUGAAGAAGCAGCAUUGAAAUGUCUAAUGCCAUUGUGCUAACCAGAUUGAAUGGAAGAAAGAAAAGGCAGGCUGUUGAAUUGUGCUGGCCCUGGAAGCACUCUUGUUGAGAUCUGGUCUUUUGCUAUGUAUUAUGAUGCUAAUACUGGCCCCCAAGUUCUGGUUGCCUCAGGGACAAGAAAAUCCUCACUUAUACCAAGUGAUGCUAUGUAACCAUGCUCCUUAAUUUAAUAAAGAUGCCAACAGCCUGUGGCUGGGCAGAAGAGUGGUAGGUGAGAUUGGUACCUGAACUUGUUGUCUGAGGAGGACCAAGAGGGAGAAGAGAGAAGGGUGGGGAGAGGAGAAGAUGCCAUGGGGUAAAUGACUGUGAGGAUUGGCUAUGAAGUCUGGCCAGAGUAAGAGCGGCCCCAACGGAACACGGCAAGUCAUAUCUUGGGGUUAUUGAUUCUAAUAGCUUAGAGGGGUGAUAUCUGCCCAGGUCUAGUGCUUUGAAGGCUUAUUAUAAAUGUAAAGAAAAUAUAAAGAUUAUGUGUGUUUUUUAAUCUGGAAACUGGAUAAUCAAAGGUGGGAUAGAAACCCCCGACUGAGAUUAAAUAUUUAGUACUAUUGCUGACCUUGAAGGAGAUUGGUUAGUCAGGGCAAACACUGUGUAUAGGGGGUGAUAGCUCAGCUUGGCCAUAAGAACUGUUAUCUUCUUUACAAUUGGGUAUCAAGAAAAUAGUAAUGGGUUGAAAUAGUGAGGAAAUCUUGUUAGAUUCAGUUUGUGAAAGUAGGAACUGACAGGAAUUCCUAAGGCUGUGUUGUUGUCCCAGCUUAUGAAAAGAGGAAGUUCUGGGAUGGUUCUCUUCUGUCGCUUACAACGCACGUGAGCAGCCAAGGCUGUGAGCCACCAACAGGAGGGAAUUCUGGGAACACAAAAGACGCAGGGGCUGCAGAUGCGGGGAAGGGCCACCACCUGGGUAGAUUGUUUUAAAUUGCCACUUCAGAGUUCGUCGGGGAAUUGUGGUCACAGCUGCUGUUCUUGCCUUUGCAGGUGAGAAGCCCAGGCCUGAGAACAAGUGUGUUGAUCCCUGUCCAGGAGGAUGGUCCCAACUCAAUGAAGAAAUCUUCAUCCACUGGGUUUCUGACGUUAGGCUGGAUCCAUGUAUGCAAAUGUGACUCUCUGAGGGCUUGUCCCCCUUCUCGUCACUUAAAAAACCCCUAAAUCUUGUGUCUCUGGACAGAGUAGAUCGAAUCCAGAUUACGCCGCUCUUCUUGCAUGUGGUUCCCUGAUGGUUAGUGUUCACUCCUGGGUCACGAACAUUUCCCAGGGCUUUUACACUUUCCCAGUCUCUGAAAGAUAGAUAGAUGAUAGGUACAUAGAUAGAUAAAUCUGUGUCAGCAACUUUCAGGUAUACACUACAGCGUUUUGUGCUGCAUGUGCACCAUUUGACAUUAAGGUUGUCUUGAAAUUAACCAAGAAAUGGGCAUCUUCUCACACACUGAAGUUAAACUCCCUUUAUUCACAGUGCUGGCAAGGAACUUUCUGUGAAGUGUAAUUCUCCACAAUUAUACGUAUAUUCCUCAUAGUUGCAAAUAGAUCUACACUGGAAGAGGCGUCGGAGACAGCUGUUGAAAGCUCCUUAGCCCUGGUUUCCUUGACAGACAGGCAUGACUGGCUGGACUCACUGAGAAUUCUGACUUGUUCCCCUCUCAGACCCAACCCAUCCAACUCAGAUGGCCUUUUUGUCUAACAUAGUCUACACAUGUACGUACACUUGUACCAUACAUAUUAACGAAUGCAGUUGUGUGCUCCACUAAACAUAGGAAAUACACGGGUUAUCUGGGCAUUGCAGGGAGGAAAGUGUCUCUACUGAGACCUUAAAAAAUAAGCAAACCCCAUAAAAUAUGGCAUUAGCUGGCUGCUCUAAAAGGCACCCUUUAAUCUCAUGUUCCGAUGAACCCAACUUGACCCUUUAAAAACACGCAUUUGUGGCAACCUUGUUGCUUUUCUAAGAAAACCCUUCAAGAAGUCUGAACUAUUUGAAGUGAUGGGAACCCCAAGAGCCUGAAGGACAGACGCCCCACAUCACCCUCCUUCUCAGAAAGGGAUUCUCUUUCCUUCCUGUAUCCACUUUAACUUCACACGAGUGUGGGGCGGCCGUGCCUGUGUUUUAAUUAUUCUGCACCGCUAUCACGCAGGACUCUGUGGGCCCUAUUUGCAACAUUUUUCUUCUCUUCCCUACCGGUUGAAAAUGUUCUCGAUCGAUAUAACUCUUUACUUUGGCUAUUUUCUUUCUUUCUAUUCAUUUCUGAUGAGUUAACUCUAGGGACUUUUUAAACCUUUCAGCUCAAGAAUUCCUGUUUAAUUCUCAUUAAUAGUUGCUAGAUAAAUCAUCUAUGACCCACUGGCCAGAGAACUGUAUGCCAGUAUCCUGGUGUGUGGUCAUUGGUGUGAGGGGAGAGAAG